rnacentral:rRNA from 1 species
UACGAAGGGGGCUAGCGUUGCUCGGAAUCACUGGGCGUAAAGGGCUCGUAGGCGGCCAACUAAGUCCGACGUGAAAUCCCCAGGCUUAACCUGGGAACUGCGUCGGAUACUGGAUGGCUUGAAUUCGGGAGAGGGAUGCAGAAUUCCAGGUGUAGCGGUGAAAUGCGUAGAUAUCUGGAGGAAUACCGGUGGCGAAGGCGGCAUCCUGGACCGACAUUGACGCUGAGGAGCGAAAGCUAGGGGAGCAAACGGG